GACGGAGGAGGCUAGCGUUGUUCGGAAUUACUGGGCGUAAAGCGUGCGCAGGUUGUGAGUUAAGUCUGAUGUGAAAGCCCGGGGCUCAACCUCGGAUGUGCAUUAGAUACUGGCUCGCUGGAGGUUGGAAGAGGAGAGUGGAAUUCCCAGUGUAGAGGUGAAAUUCGUAGAUAUUGGGAAGAACACCAGUGGCGAAGGCGGCUCUCUGGUCCACACCUGACACUCAUGCACGAAAGCGUGGGGAGCAAACAGGAUUAGAUACCCUGGUAGUCCACGCCGUAAACGAUGUGUGCUAGACGUCGGAAGGCUUGCCUUUCGGUGUCGCAGCUAACGCGAUAAGCACACCGCCUGGGGAGUACGGCCGCAAGGUUAAA
rnacentral:rRNA from 1 species